UCCCCAUUAUCUUGCAGAAUAAAGAUAUGUUUAGUUUUAAAAUAAUAUUAUUAGAUAUAAUCUAAAGAAAUUAUUUCUUUACAGAUCUUCCAAAUGUAUCAGCGAUCGCCAUUUUUGAUUUUGGGCGUGUCGACGGGGAGUAAUUUAAUAUAUAUUUUAGAGUAGAAGAAACACAAAAAUGUCUAAUGAUAAUGUUCGGAAUUGCUGAAAUUCUUCGAGAAACGGUUUUAAAUUGUUUUAGUUUCCAGUAGAUAAAAUCAGAAGAUUGAAAUGGAUCCAAAACCGAAAGUACGAUAAGGUUAAAACAGCAGUCGUUUCUAGGUUUUUAGGACACGUUUGUUUUCUAUGACAUAAAAUAUUUUUUCUCUAAAAGAAAGGUGAAAAGUUAUAUAGAAAUCGAAUUCGGUAUACGUUACAUUAAUACAGUCAAACCUUUCAACAACGGCUAAUAAUAGAAUUAGAUUUCAAUAUAUUGAUUAUCUGUGAGGUAAGUAUAUAUAUUCGAUAUUCGACCUAGUCAAUGAACCGGAGAAAAGAAAUUACUGGCAACUUUAUGAAGUAGUCGACAAUUCUACAAUCUAUUUUGAACGAUGUAUUUCCAUUUAUGUAUUUUUAUAUAAUUGUUGUUUUUCUAACCGAUUCUCACACACGUUUUACAAAUGUGCCAUAUGAAAUUAAAUUUUUAUAUAUUUUGCAGCACUUUAUAAAAUGAUUCCCGAAGAGGACGAUGUAUACGUUUACUGGUAUAAACCAUUGAACGACUGAAAAAUUUUUACUAUAUAUUUUGUCAUUUUAUAAUUAUUAAAUGUAAUAGCAAUAAAAUUUCGAUUUAAUCGUGAAAAAUGGUGUAUUAUCGAAUAUAUUAUCUAAUUUACAUAUAAAAAAUUAAAUAUAUUUAUCAUAAACUAUAAUUUUCUGCGUAUAAUUCGCAGGUUUUCUGUUUUAACAAGUCGAUCUUAAUGUGGAUGCAGGUUAUGAGAGGAUGAAAAUUAUACGAAAAGAUUUACUGUAGUUUCGUGAUUGAUAAUCAAAGAGCAAUUCAGAAACACCUGAAUCAAGCUUUUAUAGGUGAUUGACCGAUUUGCAAACGAAAAAGCGAGAAAAUAAUUUUGAAGUUUUUUAAUGUAUUAUGUAGGGGAAGGUGGGGCAGGACGAGGACGUUAAGGUUUGAAAAGUCAUAAGAUGGCAACCACUUU